CCUACGGGUGGCAGCAGUGGGGAAUAUUGGACAAUGGGGGCAACCCUGAUCCAGCCAUGCCGCGUGUGUGAAGAAGGCCCUCGGGUUGUAAAGCACUUUCAGUGAGGAAGAACGCCUGGUGGUUAAUACCCAUCAGGAAAGACAUCACUCACAGAAGAAGCACCGGCUAACUCCGUGCCAGCAGCCGCGGUAAUACGGAGGGUGCGAGCGUUAAUCGGAAUUACUGGGCGUAAAGCGCGCGUAGGUGGCUUGAUAAGCCGGUUGUGAAAGCCCCGGGCUCAACCUGGGAACGGCAUCCGGAACUGUCAAGCUAGAGUGCAGGAGAGGAAGGUAGAAUUCCCGGUGUAGCGGUGAAAUGCGUAGAGAUCGGGAGGAAUACCAGUGGCGAAGGUGGCCUUCUGGACUGACACUGACACUGAGGUGCGAAAGCGUGGGUAGCAAACAGGAUUAGAUACCCCUGUAGUC
rnacentral:rRNA from 1 species